rnacentral:rRNA from 1 species
AAUAUAGGAUUGUGGGGGCAACUCUGAUCUAGCCAAGCCGUGCGUGUGAAGAAGGUCAUCGGAUUGUAAUGCACAUUAAGUUGAGAGGAAGGGCCUGAUGCUAAUGCAAUGAAGCUUGGACGUUACCAACAGAAAAAGCACCGGCUAACUCCGUUCCAUCAGCCGCGGUAAUACAGAGGGUGCAAGCGUUAAUCGGAAUUACUGGGCGUAAAGAGCGCGUAGGUGGUUCAGUAAGAUGGGUGUGAAGUCCCCGGGCUUAACCUGGGAACUGCUUUCAUAACUGCUGAGCUAGAAUACGAUAGAGGGUAGUGGAAUUACCUGUGUAGCGGUGAAGUGCGUAGAUAUAAGAAGGAACAACAGUGGCGAAGGCGACUACCUGGACUGAUACUGACGCUGAGGUGCGAAAGCGUGGAGAGCAAACA